GAUGAACGCUGGCGGCGUGCCUAAUACAUGCAAGUCGAGCGAACAGACGAGGAGCUUGCUCCUCUGACGUUAGCGGCGGACGGGUGAGUAACACGUGGAUAACCUACCUAUAAGACUGGGAUAACUUCGGGAAACCGGAGCUAAUACCGGAUAAUAUAUUGAACCGCAUGGUUCAAUAGUGAAAGACGGCUUUGCUGUCACUUAUAGAUGGAUCCGCGCCGCAUUAGCUAGUUGGUAAGGUAACGGCUUACCAAGGCAACGAUGCGUAGCCGACCUGAGAGGGUGAUCGGCCACACUGGAACUGAGACACGGUCCAGACUCCUACGGGAGGCAGCAGUAGGGAAUCUUCCGCAAUGGGCGCAAGCCUGACGGAGCAACGCCGCGUGAGUGAUGAAGGUCUUCGGAUCGUAAAACUCUGUUAUUAGGGAAGAACAAAUGUGUAAGUAACUAUGCACGUCUUGACGGUACCUAAUCAGAAAGCCACGGCUAACUACGUG
rnacentral:rRNA from 1 species